rnacentral:rRNA from 1 species
GUGGGGAAUUUUGGACAAUGGGCGCAAGCCUGAUCCAGCCAUUCCGCGUGCAGGAUGAAGGCCUUCGGGUUGUAAACUGCUUUUGUACGGAACGAAAAGCCUCUGGUUAAUACCCGGGGGUCAUGACGGUACCGUAAGAAUAAGCACCGGCUAACUACGUGCCAGCAGCCGCGGUAAUACGUAGGGUGCGAGCGUUAAUCGGAAUUACUGGGCGUAAAGCGUGCGCAGGCGGUGAUGUAAGACAGUUGUGAAAACCCCGGGCUCAACCUGGGAACUGCAUCUGUGACUGCAUUGCUGGAGUGCGGCAGAGGGGGAUGGAAUUCCGCGUGUAGCAGUGAAAUGCGUAGAUAUGCGGAGGAACACCGAUGGCGAAGGCAAUCCCCUGGGCCUGCACUGACGCUCAUGCACGAAAGCGUGGGGAGCAAACAGGAUUAGAAACCCUGGUAGUCC